rnacentral:rRNA from 1 species
CCUACGGGAGGCUGCAGUGGGGAAUAUUGCACAAUGGGCGCAAGCCUGAUGCAGCCAUGCCGCGUGUGUGAAGAAGGCCUUCGGGUUGUAAAGCACUUUCAGCGGGGAGGAAGGCGUUAAGGUUAAUAACCUUGUCGAUUGACGUUACCCGCAGAAGAAGCACCGGCUAACUCCGUGCCAGCAGCCGCGGUAAUACGGAGGGUGCAAGCGUUAAUCGGAAUUACUGGGCGUAAAGCGCACGCAGGCGGUCCGUCAAGUCGGAUGUGAAAUCCCCGGGCUCAACCUGGGAACUGCAUUCGAAACUGGCAGGCUAGAGUCUUGUAGAAGGGGGUAGAAUUCCAGGUGUAGCGGUGAAAUGCGUAGAGAUCUGGAGGAAUACCGGUGGCGAAGGCGGCCCCCUGGACAAAGACUGACGCUCAGGUGCGAAAGCGUGGGGAGCAAACAGGAUUAGAUACCCCAGUAGUC